CCUGAUGCAGCGACGCCGCGUGAGGGAUGACGGCCUUCGGGUUGUAAACCUCUUUCGACAGGGACGAAGCGCAAGUGACGGUACCUGUAGAAGAAGCACCGGCCAACUACGUGCCAGCAGCCGCGGUAAUACGUAGGGUGCGAGCGUUGUCCGGAAUUACUGGGCGUAAAGAGCUUGUAGGCGGUUUGUCGCGUCUUCUGUGAAAACUUGGGGCUCAACCUUAAGCUUGCAGGGGAUACGGGCAGACUAGAGUACUUCAGGGGAGACUGGAAUUCCUGGUGUAGCGGUGAAAUGCGCAGAUAUCAGGAGGAACACCGGUGGCGAAGGCGGGUCUCUGGGAAGUAACUGACGCUGAGAAGCGAAAGCGUGGGUAGCGAACAGGAUUAGAUACCCUGGUAGUCCACGCCGUAAACGGUGGGUACUAGGUGUGGGUUUCCUUCCACGGGAUCCGUGCCGUAGCUAACGCAUUAAGUACCCCGCCUGGGGAGUACGGCCGCAAGGCUAAAACUCAAAGGAAUUGACGGGGGCCCGCACAAGCGGCGGAGCAUGUGGAUUAAUUCGAUGCAACGCGAAGAACCUUACCUGGGUUUGACAUACACCGGAAACCUGCAGAGAUGUAGGCCCCCUUGUGG
rnacentral:rRNA from 1 species